AUGAACGCUGGCGGCGUGCCUAAUACAUGCAAGUCGAGCGAACAGACGAGGAGCUUGCUCCUCUGACGUUAGCGGCGGACGGGUGAGUAACACGUGGAUAACCUACCUAUAAGACUGGGAUAACUUCGGGAAACCGGAGCUAAUACCGGAUAAUAUAUUGAACCGCAUGGUUCAAUAGUGAAAGACGGUUUUGCUGUCACUUAUAGAUGGAUCCGCGCCGCAUUAGCUAGUUGGUGAGGUAACGGCUUACCAAGGCGACGAUGCGUAGCCGACCUGAGAGGGUGAUCGGCCACACUGGAACUGAGACACGGUCCAGACUCCUACGGGAGGCAGCAGUAGGGAAUCUUCCGCAAUGGGCGAAAGCCUGACGGAGCAACGCCGCGUGAGUGAUGAAGGUCUUCGGAUCGUAAAACUCUGUUAUUAGGGAAGAACAAAUGUGUAAGUAACUAUGCACGUCUUGACGGUACCUAAUCAGAAAGCCACGGCUAACUACGUG
rnacentral:rRNA from 1 species